rnacentral:lncRNA from 1 species
GACGACAAUGACGAUAGUGGCAAUCAUUUAUUAAGCAUUGCCCUGGCCUAAGGCACCACAUGGGUCAUUUCUUCCAGGCUCCAACUUGCUUCUGCUUUGCCAUAUGGUAACACGCCGUAUUAUGGAAGAACCAUCAUUACCGCCAUCUGCAGGGGAAGCCUAAAGAGCCUCCCUCCCAUGCAGCCCAGAACCCUCACUGGUUCAUAAGAACACACUGGUCUCAGUUGGGCACUCAGUUAUCCCACAUCUCUUCCUUGUCCUUAAACCUACAGAGAUUGCACCCUGCUCACCCCUCCUCCUCCCACCCACGUGGCUGGGAGCUAAUGUGAUUUGAUAGUGUGGUUUCGGAUUACAGCCUGGCUUCCUGGGGUGAUCCAUCACAAGAAUAAAGAGUAUUGAUAAGGCCAAUGGGUGCACUUCCAGGUAAGGACGGUUGUGUUUCUCUCGGCA